rnacentral:rRNA from 1 species
UCUCAAAGAUUAAGCCAUGCAUGUGUCAGUGCAAGCCUUUCUUUACGGUGAAACCGCGAAUGGCUCAUUAAAUCAGUCAUAAUCCGUUGGACUUUAUGGAACCGUGUCCUUACUCGGAUAACUGUGGUAAUUCUAGAGCUAAUACAUGCCACGAGUUCCCAAAGUGUUUUUGUUAGCAUUAGUAGGACGCAAUUAUUAGAACCAAAAAUUGUACCGAACCUUGACUUGGUGUAAAAUUUGGUGAAUCUGGAUAAUCACAGCAGAGCGCUUAACUUGUGUCGGCGCCUGACCUUUGAAGAGUCUGCUCUAUCAGCUUGACUGUAGAUUAAAUGUCUACAAUGGCUAUAACGGGUAACGGGGAAUCAGGGUUCGAUUCCGGAGAGGCAGCCUGAGAAACAGCUACCACAUCUAAGGAAGGCAGCAGGCACGCAAAUUGCUCAAUCUUAGCUCGAGGAAGCAGUGACAAAAUAUCUUGAUGCGGGACUCUUCCGAGGCCUCGCAAUCAGGAUGCGUUUACCAUAAAAAGGUAGACUGAACGCAAUUGGAGGGCAAGUCUGGUGCCAGCAGCCGCGGUAAUUCCAGCUCCAAUAGCGUAUAUUUAACUUGCUGAGGUUAAAAAGCUCGUAGUUGGACUUUAUACUCAGGCAGCCAGCCCUCGUCCUUGAGGUUCUUACUGGUCUGUGACUGAGUGUAUGAGACCGUCGAUAAAUUUUAAUCUAUAACUUGUGGUGCCCUUAACUGGUUUAGGUAUAUCAUGCAGAAACUUUUCGACUGUAUCACUUUGAUAAAAUUAGAGUGCUCAACGCACUCAUUGCAUAAUUGCCUAUAUGGUAGUGCAUGGAAUGAUGGAAGAUGAUCUCUACCUCGUUAAAUUAGCACAAAAUCUUUGAUGUUCUUUACACCAAUGAAAGAUUCGAGGUUUGAGAUAAUGAUUAAAGGGAACAGCCGAAAGCGUUUGUACUACGGCGCUAGAGGUGAAAUUCUUGGACCGUCGUAAGACAAACUACUGCGAAAGCAUUCGCCAAGAAUGUUUUCAUUAAUCAAGAACGAAAGUUAGAGUUUAGAAGGAGAUCAGAUACCUCCCUAUUUCUAACCGUAAACUAUGUAAACCGGUUGUCCGUCGGAAGUCAUUUCCGAUGGACGAGCGACCCCAGGGAAACCAGAGAUUAUUCCUGGGGAAGUAUGGUUGCAAAAGCGAAACUUAAAGGAAUUGACGGAAGGACACCACCAGGAGUGGAGCCUGCGGCUUAAUUUGACUCAACACGGGAAACCUCACCAGGCCCAGAAACAUUUAGGAUUGACAGAUUGAAAGCUCUUUCAUGAUUAUGAGGAUGGUGGUGCAUGGCCGUCUU